UCUUUAUGUCUAUUGCAUUAUGCCUGAAUAAUUUUCAUCUUUUUUUUUUUUUUUUUUUUUUUUUUUUCCCUCCCCUCUUGCACGCACAUGCUAAAAUAACGAGACAAAGAUGCAAGGUGUUGCUGCAGUCCCUAUCUCCAGGACAAAACCAAGAAAGCUCGUGAUUGCAAUGCCACCUUUUUUUUUUUUUUUUCUUUAUUUUUUUCCCCACCCAUGCUCAGUGAUUAAACUUCCCCAGGAUAGGGAAGAAAAAGGAGCUGGAAAUGAAAUAGGGUUCAAGAAAAAUCCCAUUGCUGCAGCUGCAGCCAGUGGUGUCUGCUGCCAGAUGUGCUAAGGUUCCUGGGGUCCUUGACACUAAAAGGCAGUAUUAAAAUAUUUGGAGACAAAAGCUGCAUCCUCAGUGAUCAUUUUCUUUAUUUAACAUGGCAGCAGGCGCCGUGUGGGGGAAAAUCAACAUGCUGGAUGUUGAAUUGGACUUUUCUCCUUUCUAGGAUGAAAGGAUGUUAUCUAUCCCGUGCCAAGAGGGAACUGAGGUGCAGGGGGAGGGGAAGAAAGUCUUCAAAACUAGCCCGCCAUGAGCAAUGAACAUAUGGCUGUUACUAUCAGAACUGGUGUAUUUGCGGCGAUGCCUAUCGACAUCCACCAGAGAGCAGAGCAGCUCCAAAACCCACAUCUUUUAUGCUGUGGAAAUUGAUGGAGACAGCAACACAGCCAGCUUCUUGGCCAAACAACAUGGAAUGCAGUUCAUUUCAAAGGUACUGGUCUCUUAGCCUGUAAGGCUUGUGCAUGAUGUAUAUGAGAGCGAUUUCCAGCAGAGCGAAGCUUAUCACAGAUCCACCUAAAAGAUUCUACCAGACAGACAGCUGUGAAAAGAGAUGUGAUCUCAGAAACACUGAAGGACAACUUCCACCCUACCCAGGAGUAUUUUGAAGGCAGUCACUGGUGAAAUGGGUGAAUAUCAGACAGCUCAUUAUAGAGACAAGCAUGCUGCACUCCCGAAGUAGGAUGACAGAACAAGUCAUGGUACUAUCUAAAUGAAUUAGAUGGUGAAGACAUUACUGCUAUAACCUAGAAGACAUUUGGCCAUCUGAAGACCUCAGCAUGCCCACAGAUUGGACAAAGGGAGGUUCCCAACAGGCUCACUUUCUCAGUUUUGUUAAUUAUAUUUGAUAUUUAGGUUGGAUGCUUUUUUUCUCUAUUUCUUAAAUACGCCUUCUGAAGGAUUCUGAGUUGAGGGAGAGGGAGGAGAAGAAACAAACUUAUAGUUCCUGUCCUUUAUUUGUGCCUAGAUUCCUGGAAAGAAGAAAGGAUAGGCAGAGUCAGUGGGUACCAUUUUUUUGGAUAAUUUAAUCCUUCCACGUUAAUUUUCAAAAUCUUGAUGACUUUGGAUAAUAUUUCAAAGAACUGGAUUUGUACAAAUAUUGUCAAUUAAAGUAAUGGUGAUAGUGGUUAAACAGGCCUAGAAAAACGUUUUGAGGAGUGAUACUGUGAUGGGUGUCAUGAUAGCAGAUCCCUUAUUUGUAUCACAAACUUGACUGGACUUCAUAAGAAUGGAAAUCUAUAAUUUUUUAUCUUUUAAAACAAAGAGGUAGCAAGACAUACUGGUAAUAGUACCUCCUCAGUUUUGACACCCUUUCUGAAACAUUGCCAGUGUUACCUUGGGUGAUUCAUUUGAUGACCAUGUGCUCUCCCCCACACCUCAGCCUGACCUUUAUUUCCCAUAUCCCGUUCAAGUGAUAACCACCAGUGGCAGUCGUAAUGGAUGCGUCUGGUUGUGAUGGCUGCAUCUGUCUCAAAGUGGAUUUGGGGAAGACAGAGAACAACACAAUAGCCGAGGGCUAAGUUGAUCGUGUGCCAACAGAAAUACAGCUGAUAUGCAAAUAUAAGUCAGUCAUCUUACUCCAUAAAUAGUGGAAAGCCCAGGGCACAUUGAGCUCUCCUGCACGGCAGUGGGCUGCACGCCAGGAUCUACCCUUGAGUAGGGGCAUCUCUCAAGGUUAUUCCUCAGGGCUGAGAGAAUCCUUGCUGUGUCAGACACUUGAUCUUGUACAGAAGGAAAAUGAGAUCCUUGGUGAAGCCUACAAUGUCAUUGACUCUGAAGAAGGACUCAGAGACCCAUUGGUGUUUAAUGACCCUUACUGGCCUCCACAAAAGAAACUGGUGGGUGAAGAGUCAUGGAUAUUAAAGGAGACUUAUUAAUCAGGCUGUUGUGAAAGAUCUGAUAGCAGCUUUGGUCAUCUUGAAAGCAUUCCUCUCCAGGACAGGAAACCGACGGAGCAAAGCCCUGAGAACAUGCCGCAACACUUCAUAUUCAAUCCACAGCCCUAUAAAGAGAUGAAAAAUGAGCCUCGUCCAAAUCUCUUACCUCAGCACCCAGUGGCAAAAAUAAAAUGUGAGCUUGGGACCAGGUCUCUUUGAAGCUGAAUUCUUCCCUUUUCUUCUUUUUUUCUUUUUUUUUUUAAAAAACUCUGCAACAGGCCUCUGGUGGUUACAGGUAUUGAUCGUCAGAAAGUAAUCUGUUCAGGUUUGGGGGCAUGCCAGACCGAAUCCUGGAGUACAUUCCUUCCUCUCCAAGGACAUGUUGAGCUUUUUAUACUGUCCACACUGGCUCACUUGUCAGCUGCCUAGCUUCUUUGUCUUUACUGAUUUCCCUGUUUGUAGAGAGCAUAUAAUUAAAUCUCCCUUAAAAAAAAAAAAUUAUGCAUUGCUACUCUAGAAUUUUCUGCCAGUGCCAAAGGUUUUUUACCCCAUUUUUUUAACCCUCAUUUUUCUUCUAUAAUCGUUAUUUGAUUCCCUCUGGCUGCCUGCUACUUAUUUGUAGUAGUACCAUUCAUCCAUUGAGACCUUUCCAUCUGUCACACAGCUUUGCUUUCUCUCCCCAGAAGCUUUCUUCUCCUACUGUGCCAUGCUUGAUUUUUUGGGCUUAGUUGUGUGUUUGUAUGCUCUUUUUAGUAUUUUUAAAAAUGCUUCAGUAUUCAGAACAAAUACAACAAGAAGAGAAGAGAAAAACAACAUAGCACAAGAGCGGUUCAAACCCAACUUUGUGCACAGAGGCAGUAUGAGGAGACUAAGAUUCCUGAUGAAUUAAGGAAUCAACAAAUACAGCCAGUGCAUAACUGGCAGCCAGGCCCUGCUCUGUCUGAAUUUUUGCUGUUGCCUUCAAAAUCUUUCCAGUUCUAUGUUAGAUAAAUAGACGAUACCAGGAAAUGUUGCAUUGCCUUUGCUGUACUGACUCCCUUUGGUGUAUUAAUUGUAGAGAAUAUCUGAAGAAAGACAAACAUACUGAGGUACAAUACCAUGAUUACUUAAUGGAAGGAAUGUUUUGAAGGACCAAGAAGUUCCUUACUAAAACAAGACCAGGGUGAAAUCUUACAUUUAAUAUUAAAUUAGAAAUUCUUAUAUUCAGUGGUUAAAUAUUAAAAAAGAAUAUACACCUGUUAAUGUUUCCCUGGUGAAAUGUUGGAUGGGCUAAAUCCAGCAGCACAACCCUUCAGAGGUAUCAGGCUUGCUUGUCUUUUUGUGUCUUCAACUGAUAUAUUUAAUUGUGAUUGUAAUCUAAAUGGGUUGUUCACAUCAAAUGUAUCUUAGUUUUUUCAUAUGAGCAAGACUAGAAGAUUUUACAUCUACUCUACAGAUCUACCUUGUAAUUGUCUCAAAUCUCAAAUUCUUUGUCUUAGAGAAAAUCUCACAAAAUUCCAUACUUCAAAAAUAUAUUUUGAUUCUCUGUUAUUUUUUUUUUCUUUUCCUCUAACACUUCUCAUUAUAUCUUCUCAUGAUCUUGUUUCAAAAGUUCCUGCAAGUGUACUGUGAGUCUUAGGAUCCAUAAAACAGUUUGUGAUGUGUUCUGGAAAAUAAAUUUUCAGUAAAAAUACCUUCACUCUUUAUAAAAUUACUUCUCUGGCUAUAUGGAAAGUAUUGAUAAUCCCCAAGCAAAUACAAAUGCUCUGGGUGUCUACUGAUUUGAAUGGCAGUCCACAGAAAUUUUCCUUUACUACCAUCUCUUUUGUUGCACUUUUCUGAGAAUAAAAUGGGUGGGAAAAAAAUCAGAAGCCUCAGUAUACACCUGUAUUGGAAAAUGUCUAAAAUGUAGAUAUUUUGCAAAAAUCUUAUUUAUAAAUGUUGCUUGUGCAAAUAAGAGCCAUUCAGACCUAGCUAAUACUUUACCAGUACUUUAUGGUAUUUUGCAAAGGACAAUAAAUGGUUCCUUUUAUGGGAUAAUUUAUGGGAAAGAAAAUGCGUGAGAAGGGGGAAAGGGCAGUAAUGAGAGAUAGAAACAGAUCCUUCAGUCCAUCCUGACCAUUGAAAUCUUUCUUAUGUUACUCCUCAAGAAUAAAUGAUUAAAGAAUAAAAAA